rnacentral:misc_RNA from 1 species
GAUGAAGAACGCAGCGAAAUGCGAUAAGUUAUGUGAAUUGCAGAAUUCAGUGAAUCAUCGAAUCUUUGAACGCACCUUGCGCUCCUUGGUAUUCCGAGGAGCAUGCCUGUUUGAGUGUCAUUAAUAUAUCAACCUCUUCAGCUUAUGCUUGUUGAGUGUUGGAUGGUGGGGGUUUGCUGGUGUCUUAUGAAGUCAGCUCCUCUGAAAUGCAUUAGCGGAACAAUUUGUUGACCGUUCAUUGGUGUGAUAAAAAUAUCUACGCUAUUGACGUCAGUCAGUUCAGCUUCUAACAGUCCAUUGACUUGGACAAAUUUUUCAUUAAUGUGACCUCAAAUCAGGUAGGACUACCCGCUGAACUUAAGCAUAUCAAUAAGCGGAGGA